AAGUCGUAACAAGGUUUCCGUAGGUGAACCUGCGGAAGGAUCAUUAGUGAAUUUUAGGGUGCUCUCUUUUCAUCAAAGAGAGGCCUGACCUCCACUUUCCCACACUGUGCACUUAUGGCAAGCUUCCUAAAGUUAUAUAAGUCUAACGACAUUGAUCUUUUUGGGGCUUGCGGCUUUACCUUUAAACACUAAGUCAAAGAAUGUAAUAAAACCAUAACAAAAGAAAA
rnacentral:misc_RNA from 1 species